GAGGAAUAUUGGUCAAUGGGCGGAAGCCUGAACCAGCCAUGCCGCGUGCAGGACGACGGCCCUACGGGUUGUAAACUGCUUUUCCGGGGGAAGAAUAACCCCCCUGCGGGGGGGGAUGCCGGUACCCCGGGAAUAAGGAUCGGCUAACUCCGUGCCAGCAGCCGCGGUAAUACGGAGGAUCCUAGCGUUAUCCGGAUUUACUGGGUUUAAAGGGUGCGUAGGCGGGCGCUUAAGUCCGCGGUGAAAGUCUGCGGCUCAACCGUAGGAUUGCCGUGGAUACUGGGGGUCUUGGAUUCGGUCGGGGCGGGCGGAAUGCGUGGUGUAGCGGUGAAAUGCAUAGAUAUCACGCAGAACGCCGAUAGCGAAGGCAGCUCGCCGGGCCGACAUCGACGCUGAGGCACGAAAGCGUGGGGAUCAAACA
rnacentral:rRNA from 1 species